AAAGUCGUAACAAGGUUUCCGUAGGUGAACCUGCGGAAGGAUCAUUAAUGAAGUGCUUGGCGUCUUCGGACCCAAACCCCCUCUCAUUAUCCUUUCACCUGUGCACUGUUUGGCGGGGCCGCGGGCACCGGCCUGUCGUUUCGGCAGGCCGGCGUCCGGGCGCCCUGUCCACCCCCCACACCCCCUUUAAACAACGUUGAUGAAUGUCCUUUGUCGGCAGUCGACCGCUCGCGGCCGGCUCCGGUUCAACAAACACAAACACAACUUUUAGCAACGGAUCUCUUGGCUCUC
rnacentral:misc_RNA from 1 species